CCAAGUUCUCGGCCUUUUGGCUAAGAUCAAGUGUAGUAUCUGUUCUUAUCAGUUUGAUUACCUAGACUGCAGAAGGGAGCCUUGGGUUAGAAUGCGGUUAGAAAUGCAGAAGCUGGAGUUACAGGUGCUGCUGGACGUUUCGGAACCCAAAACUAGUGGAACUUGUAGGUAUGUGGCACCUACU